rnacentral:rRNA from 1 species
CUACAGAGGGUGCGAGCGUUAAUGGGAAUUACUGGGCGUAAAGCGCGCGUAGGCGGUCUAUUAAGUCAGAUGUGAAAUCCCAGGGCUCAACCUUGGAACUGCAUCUGAUACUGGUAGACUAGAGUUUUGGAGAGGGAAGUAGAAUUUCAGGUGUAGCGGUGAAAUGCAUAGAGAUCUGAAGGAAUACCAGUGGCGAAGGCGACUUCCUGGCCAAAAACUGACGCUGAGGUGCGAAAGCGUGGGUAGCAAACGGGAUUAGAAACCCCAGUAGUCC